rnacentral:pre_miRNA from 1 species
CUACUACUCCCUCCAUCCGAAAAUACUUGUCAUUGAAAUGGAUGUAUCUAGAUGUAUUUUAGUUCUAGACACAUCCAUUUUGAUGACAAGUAAUUCCGGACGGAGGGGGUAUUAU